rnacentral:rRNA from 1 species
UACGAAGGGUGCAACCGUUGCUCGGAAUCAUUGGGCGUAAAGCGCACGUAGGCGGCGCAGUAAGUCGGACGUGAAAUCCCUCGGCUCAACCGAGGACGUGCAUCCGAAACUACUGUGCUCGAGUAUGGAAGAGGGUCGCGGAAUUCUCGGUGUAGAGGUGAAAUUCGUAGAUAUCAGGAGGAACACCGAUAGCGAAGGCAGCUCGCUGGGACGGUACUGACGCUGAGGCGCGAAAGCGUGGGGAGCGAACAGG